rnacentral:lncRNA from 1 species
GCUGGAGUGCAGUGGUACAAUCAUAGCCCGCUGCAGCCUUGAACUCCUGUGUUUAAGUAGUCUUCCUGCCUCAGCCUCUCAAAGCACUGGGACCAUAGGCGUGAGCCACUGCUUUCUUCAAAAUUUGACCCAGAAUCCAAUCAAGGCGACAGUGAUCAUCAGACCGGCAAAAUGAAGGUGAGGAGUCAAUUGUGAUUGUUCUUUUUGCCCCAUCGUGGAUUUGCCUAUUUUGUUUAUUUUACUGAUGAUGGGAAAUUGAUAGAUUGGAAACAUCAGAGUCACUGGUUGUCAGUAAAUGAUAUAAUCAAUCAUAAUUAUAAGGCAGUUUUGUUAUAGACUUAAAUUAGUCUUCAGCAAAGUAAUAAUGGGGGGGUGUGCGUGUGUGUGUGUAUGUGUGUGUAUACAGUAAGUCAGUCCUCACUUAACAUGGUCUGUAGAUUCUUGGAAAUAGCAACUUUAAGUCAAAUGAAGUGUUCAAACUGGUCCUCCACAAGGUAAUAUCAUUCAAUUUCCUUUCGUUACAACGUUGAUAAGAAAAAAAGUUGGUCUUGUUAUAGUUCUUUUUUGUUUAUUUUUUACUCAAGUUACAUUUAAUAUCUUUAUCACAGGAAGGCUGACAAUAUAAAACUUCCUAUGUAUGAAAACUCAAAAAUAACCAAAGUGGCAAGUGAAUAAUUCCUUUGAGAAGCAAAAGAACAGUACAAUGUUUAUUAACGUUUCUUCCUGAAUUUUCUUCAAUUUUUUUAAACACACAAAAAGCUUUUCUGUACUUAGAUUGCUGUUUGCUGUUUUUAAUGUUGUUAACAUGCAUAUCAUUGCAUUUAUGGAUAGUAGUAGAUAGUGUAAUAUACAUGAAACCAACAUCUAGGGAUGGCUGCCUUCUGAGUGCUUUACAGAUGGCACGUUCUCUUAUUAUCCAGCUUAAUCACAGCUCCUUCAACUGAUAACUUCACAUCAUCUGCAGUAUUUCCAAUCUGUAAAUCUGGUUCGCACAAGUUGGUUUUAGUGUAUUUGGAACCAUAUUUUAAAUCACUGGAACUACUUUGCCUUAAUGCCCAUGGGCUGUCAGCUCCCAAGGGCUAAGACCAAGUUUUUCUUAACUUUGUGCAUAUAGCGUGGGACCUGCCCAGAACAGGUACUCAACAAUUUUGCUGAGCAGAACUGUCCUCAAUGGAGAAAAGAAAGGAGAAAGGCUUUACUGAAGACUGCCCCAAAUACAAACAAACAAAUUCCAUUUUAAAUGGAAUAUAUACACUUUAGCCCCCAAAUGCAGACCAGUGCACCUCUGUGUAGUUUCCGACUAGUCACCUGGUAAUAGAUCAUUCCUGUCAUUCACGGGCUCAGUCCCAGCUCUAUUUUUCAGUAUCUUGAAUCAAGUUCUCUCUCCUCUAAUCAAUCAUGGAAGAAAUAGACCCAUAACUAGUUAUUUUGGGUAAAUGGGAGCUAUUUAAAAGAAGAUUGAUAUUUUAAAAGCUUAAAUGAAAUGUUAAUCAAAUAUGAUUUAUGAUUAUUUUCUUUCUAUGAGUAUUCUUUAAUUGUGGAAGGCAGUUUCUUAGGAAGAGAACAAGGGUUCUGUUUUACAACCAAAAGUUUGGUGGUGGUUUUUUUUCACAAAAUUCUUGAGUUUAAAAAAAUUGAUGGUUGUUUUGCAUUUCACCUAGUAGCUUAUUCAAUGGUUUGUUUUUCUGCUAAAUGUUGUUAACCUUCAAAACUUGAAUUAAUUUCUUAAUUUCUAUUUCUACUUCAGGAAUCUUAAGAAAGAUGGCUUAACCCAGUCAGAAGGGACAAGCAUAAUUUUCUUCCAUGGCUAUUGUAUAAAACAGAGUAAUGAGAAUGAUGUUCUUCCUCUUUAUUAGCCUCUGGGCCCCGGAGACAGAAAUGAUCAGGACGGAUUCAUGGAGGUCCUUGUGAAUUGGGACUUAACCAGGAGGAUUGGGACUUAAUUUGCACAAAAGAGAGUGGAAGAUCAUUGUAGGCAAGGACAACAACACAGAUCCAGAGUUAGUCCAGACUUGGAGGAGCAUGUUCCCUUCCUCCUGACUCAGCUUCCAAGUCCUGUGAUGACUGGCACCAGCAUCUGCUGGAGAUGAGAUGACAGAAGCACUACCACAGCCAACCAAGAAUCCAAAUAAGCCACACAGUAAGGCGGGGAGAUGCUCUCUCAAGAGAAACAGAACACCCUUCGGUAUUUCCAUGUGUCAAGUGGAUAACUGGCUCAGUGAUGGAAAUGUUUUGGUAGUCUCCAAAUACUUGCUCUCUGCUUAUUAGUAGUGUGAGCCUGGGCAUGCAGUUAACCUUCCUGAGUCUCAGUCUCCUGAUCUGUGAAAUGGGAAUCAUAAAUAAUAGCUGCCUCCAAGAACGAUGGUGAAGAUGAAAUGAGCUAAUGGGUGUCUGACUAAGGUUUGUUUAGAAGGUCACAAAUGCAGGGUUUGGCUUCCAGUCAAUGCACGAGUCAAAUGCCACUGUGCUUAUCCGUGAAUGUAAAGCUGCCCUCGGGGUUACUCCUAGCAUCUCUUCUUUCCCAGCCAUGAUUCUACUUCCUCUCUCAGAUCUCCUCCGGGCUUUACGGACCUGCCCAAAGGGUGAUCUGUUCUACUUUCUACACAACUUUUUUAUAAUAUGGGCUGCUCGUCAAUGGAAUUGCAAGAACAUUUGCUCUUGUCAAACAUAUUUUGAGCCUGGCUGUUUUUUUCUGACAAAUGUUCUGAUCCACUGUUCCAAGUUGUUGCAUUUACCAACCUAUCCUUUCAGCAAAGUUGGCUGUCCAUCAUAUAUAGGCGACCCUCUAUGAGAAAUUGCCCACGGGUAGGCACCUGCUCUCUGAAGUUAUGCUUGACAUCGUGGACAGCUUGGACACAGACACUGGAAGCCUAGGCUCCACAUGGAGACUGGUCUGCAGACAUCACCUGUAGCUGUAGGUCUGCAGUCUGACUGGGGCUGCAACUCUGGUCACUUAUUCAUGGAAACAGAUUUACAUGGCAAAUCAUUAAUAAAUGCAGGUGCUUGGAUUAUUGUGAGUUGUG